AUUGAACGCUGGCGGCAGGCCUAACACAUGCAAGUCGAACGAGUGGCGGACGGGUGAUUAAUGUCUGGGAAACUGCCUGAUGGAGGGGGAUAACUACUGGAAACGGUAGAUAAUGCCGCAUACCAUCAGAUGUGCCCAUAUGGGAUUCGCUUGUUGGUGGGGUAACGGCUCACAAAGGCGACGAUCCCUAUCUGGUCUGGGGGGAUGCCCAGCCACACUGGAACUGAGACACGGUCCCGAUUCCUACGGGAGGCAGCAGUGGGGAAUAUUGCACAAUGGGCGCAAGCCUGAUGCAGCCAUGACGCGUGUAUGAAGAAGGCCGUCGGGUUGUAAAGUACUUUCAGCGGGGAGGCGUUACCAACAGAAUAAGCACCGGCUAACUCCGUGCCAGCAGCCGCGGUAAUUC
rnacentral:rRNA from 1 species